UAACCGACCUGCCGCCAUCACGUGACCAGAAGUGAGCUGGACCAACAGAAUAUUUUGACGGACAUAACUCACCCGAGUCGAUAUUCCCGUCAUAUUUUGUUGUCUUAUACUCCAUAAUGACUCGCAAAAGUAAUUCCACUUUGCGUAAGUCUUAAAGAGCUUUCCAAAGCAGAAACGUCGGACUUGUAAUGGUUUGGUGUCACGUGGCUCUGCCCGCGUGCUUGUUCACAGCGCCGCACGUAGGUGUGCCUUGUGCAGUACAUUGUUUUCACGCAGCAUUCACUAAUCUGGUACAGUAUGGACGUGACUUUAGUUCAACCCGCCCAAAAAAAAGAAAAUCUCAGGACCGUUCCCAUGUGGACCGCAGGCCUCUCUGUAUGACUUCCUGGUACUCUCCAGGUACUCUUGCUUCUUCUCACAGUCUAAAAUAUGUACGUUAGGUUCUUUUAGUGGUCAUAUCAUGAGACAGCAUUGCUAACCAGUCAUUAGUUUUGAAUUAGUAACGGAAGUACUCCAUUAAUGUAUUUUGUUAAGCAACUAUUGCAUUCCCUUUUUUGAAAAACCUUCAAAAGUAUCAACGAAAUCGGAUUAUACCAAACCGCUAGGGAGCAGUGUUCUGUUCUUGAGCAACCAUAACGCUUAUUGACUAACUACUUGGUUUCCUUUGCUGUAGCGACAUCCACAUCUUUGAUAUAUUUAGUAGAUUUAUGGUUGUGAUGUUUGAAAUAGUAUUUAUUGCUCUAAGACGCGUCAAACUCUUUGGGGCGAUUCGCCCGAGGAAAUAAAUGUAACUUUGCGGCAGUGAUCAGGUUUGGCCACAAGACGGUGCCAAAUGCACACUUGCCGACAUGCUAUAUUUGCUAUAGUCUGAUCAUUUCUACGCGAAGAUUUUCAAAAUAAUUGACUGACUGCAAGUUUGCCUUCAAUUUUUAUGAUUUAAAAAAUGUUUCAUGAUGAUAAUCAGAAUAAAACACAGGACACAUUUGAGGCAUUUAAAAAAAUGUGUGGUCACACUUUCUUAGCGAUUGUGGCAGGUGCACUCGAUGAAAUAAUAACGCCGGUUGGCGGUGGAGCUUAUGGUGACAUGGGCGGAGUCACAAGAGUGGCCAAAUGAGUGAAGUGUCCAGGCGAGCGCGCUGAUCACAUUGCCAACAAGUUCAUACACUGUCUGCGCUUACGUGUAUUAAGUGGAUGUGUGCGCGCCGAGAUCAGAUGGAGGCCGCGGUUCUGAAGUCCAGCAUCGUUCCGGGGGUGCACUGCAACAGCAACCCAGUGAGCGGAGAUCUGCAGGUGACGAGGCUACAGGAGCUGGUGCUCAGGCUGGAGCUCCACAACGAACAGCUCCGCACGAGGGCUAGCGCGGGGGGUCGCUGCUGCCCGCCGGCCUCCCUGAGUCCACAGGAGGACGCCGGCGAGGAUCCCCGAAAGCGUGACGGAUCCGUGCUGUUGGUUCUAGACGAGGUGGAGCUGUUGGACGUGGACCUUCUUGGAUGCUCAGAUGAUGAAACAUGGUUGUACGUGUCCCCCAAAGCCAAAGAGUCAAAGGCGGAGAACACCCUAACCCCACUGCAGUGGUGCCGGCAAGUUUUGGAUGAUCCAGAUUGGGAUCUGAUGAAGCGUUCACUGUGCCUCAGGCUGAAGUCAGCAUCCGCAGCUUCCUGCGGGCGCAGACCAUUGGCCAACCCUGACUGCUCCCCCCAACACCUGAGCAGAGUUGCAGGCGUAUCCCCCAUUGGCACGCCCUGCUCCCCCCUUUGUUCCUCUGACACACAUGUGUCCUCGCCGCGUCCUCGUCAGAGUCCCGCGGGUAAGGCAAGGACUCCUACCUUCAUCCCACACCUCACCCGUGGCAGCAGCCUGCGGUGCCGGAGCCCUCGGCCACGCGUGGACCGUGACCUCAUCUCCCCAAGAGUGGGCGAGGAUGAGUCUGUCACCCACGGCUACAAACUGCAGGAUCUAACUGACGUGCAGGUGGUGGCGCGGCUGCAGGAGGAGAACCUCAGAGCUCAUCGCUACUUCAGCUUUAUUAACCCCACAAGGUGUGUGUGUGUGUGUGUGUGUGCGUGCGUGCGUGCGUGCGUGCGUGCGUGCGUGCGUGCGUGCGUGCGUGCGUGCGUGCGUGCGUGCGUGCGUGCGUGCGUGCGUGCGUGCGUGGCCGCCAUGCUGUGCCGUGCCAUUCCUCAUGUCUCGCUUGCCCAGGACUCAGACAGGACUACGCCAGCACGUCCUCCAUCCUGGCCACCCGACGCAGCCAGAGCAUCACCUUCCCACUCAGCGCCCGUCCCGACCCGGAGGAGGGAGACAAGGGGGCAGACGAAAACUUCAGUCCCUUGCCGCCUCAGCUCCACGUCUCCCCGCUGUCUCGCGGCCGCACCUUCUCCAGCGCCAAAGACUGGCGAAGAAGCAGCAGCUUCCUGUCCACCCCUCCUUCUGCCCCGCCUCACCCAUCCGCAGGGUUCGUCUACCACACGCCGCCUCGGCAGCAUCCGCCACCGGGAGGAGAUAAGAUGGGGAGGAGCUUGCCUAACCUCGCUGGAGCUCCUAGUAAUCCCAGCAUCCCUAGUGCUUCCUUGCUUCGUAACAGCCAGAGCUUUGAUUCUCCAGGUGGCAUCACUCGCCAGGAGUCUUCUAUGGCCUCCCCCAGCUUGCUGCACACCGGGGUCCAGAGUGUGGGGGGUGUCGGUGUUAAGGCCACCUCCUUUGUCAGCCCCACCAUCAAGGGCUCUGCCUCGGUGCCGACGUCGUUGUCGCUGGGUGGCAGGAGUGGGAUCCCUCUGCUAAGUAAACCAUCCUCCUCCUGUGUGUCAGCAUCACUUCACAGCAUCCUGUCUCCGCCCACCUGCUACGACGAUACCACAAGCCCCACACCUCGCGUCAAGGCGGCCCAAUCAGCGUGCAGUUUACUGACACCUCCGAGGAGCUUGUCGGCCUUCAGCAACCUCCAUGACCGCGCCUGGAGGGACAGCCGCUACUGACCGAAAGCGCCGACCAGACAUUUAAUGACUUCCUGCUGCUUUUGUGCAAAGAAACACAUUUUUAAACGACAAGUGUGAUGACUAAGUUUUGCCCUUUUAGCAUCAUGUGUGCCAUGCAAAAGCUGAAUGGAAUGUAUUUGCAUCAGUCAGGUUUAAUUAUAAUAACAUAAGGAAAUGUAAGUAAAUUAACUUUUAUUUGACAUGUUUCACAAGGGUUUGAAAAAACACAACACUGCAUUUUUUUAUGUUGCACGUUAAAAUCGAGAUAUUGUCCUGUGUGUUUGCUACAGCUUACACUUAAUGUCACAGUCAAGUAACACCCUUUGUUUUAUUUCUUUACGCACAUUGCACUUGUUUCUAUGAUGGACUAACUGAUCAUUUUAUUAAAAUAUAUUUUUAAUGCUCA